GCCCAGGUGGCGGAAUUGGUAGACGCGCUAGCUUCAGGUGCUAGUACCCUUUUCGGGUGUGGAAGUUCGAGUCUUCUCCUGGGCACCA
rnacentral:tRNA from 1 species